UACGUAGGGGGCUAGCGUUGUCCGGAAUCACUGGGCGUAAAGCGCACGUAGGCGGAUCUUUAAGUCAGGGGUGAAAUCCCAAGGCUCAACCUUGGAACUGCCUUUGAUACUGGGGAUCUCGAGUCCGGAAGAGGUUGGUGGAACUGCGAGUGUAGAGGUGAAAUUCGUAGAUAUUCGCAAGAACACCAGUGGCGAAGGCGGCCAACUGGUCCGGUACUGACGCUGAGGUGCGAAAGCGUGGGGAGCAAACAGG
rnacentral:rRNA from 1 species